UCCGAUGUAGUGUAACGACUAUCACAUCACGCUUUCACCGUGGAGACCGGGGUUCGACUCCCCGUAUCGG
rnacentral:tRNA from 1 species